AACGAACGCUGGCGGCGCGCUUAAUACAUGCAAGUCGAACGAGAAGGUGUAGCAAUACACUUGUAAAGUGGCGAACGGGUGAGGAAUACAUGGGUAACCUACCCUCGAGUGGGGAACAACCAGCCGAAAGGUUGGCUAAUACCGCGUACGCUUCCGGGUCUUCGGAUUCGGAGGGAAAGUCAUACCGUGGGUAUGACGCUCAAGGAUGGGCUCAUGUCCUAUCAGCUUGUUGGUAGGGUAACGGCCACCAAGGCUCCGACGGGUAGCUGGUCUGAGAGGACGAUCAGCCACACUGGCACUGCGACACGGGCCAGACUCCUACGGGAGGCAGCAGUAAGGAAUAUUGCGCAAUGGGCGAAAGCCUGACGCAGCGACGCCGCGUGGGGAUGAAGGUCUUCGGAUUGUAAACCCC
rnacentral:rRNA from 1 species